GUCGCCCCAGCAGCAAAUGUGUCCCGGCCCGUCCCGUCGCCGGCCCCAAGCGCGGGGCGCGGGGCGGGUUGGUGGGUGCCCCGGUUACCCGCGACACUGGAAGGAACCGGGUGGUCCUGACUGCAAAAUCAACCUUGAACUUCCUUUGCCUGAGGGGAGCCAGCUUUCCCUCACCAAGGCCAGGGUGGUGCUUGUCCUGCUGUGAAGGGGCAGGAGGGCAGAGGAAGACGAGAUCUCUCAGUGACUAGGGGCCCCUUGGAGGACUUUGAAUGCCAGGAGAGAGACCUUGAACUGGGCUCUGGGGCCAAGGAGAGGUCUUAGGGGGAGAGUGAAAAGGAUGUGUUCACACAGCUGCCCCUUGUGUGAGGAGAGCCAGGUUUCCCUCCGCGAAGCAAGGGAGCUUUGUCUUGCACUUGCCAGUUUCCCUGCUCCUGACAAUUUUGGGGGGGGAACCUGAAACAUCACCUCCGACUUUCCCCCUUCCCAGCUGCUGCAUGUCGGUCUGAAAAGGGGUUAGAGCAGGUGAGCACGCAGGGCUGUGCCCUUUGGCCUACUAGCUGAGCCACCAUUUUGCCUUAGAGAACUAGGAUCGAGUCUGCGUCCCCGAUGUCGGGAACCGAAGAACCGAGUCGCUCUUUCUACUCAAAUGCACAGAGAAGUCCCGCCUGGGAUGUUCCUGCUGUGGCAGCACAUGGGAGUAAAGGCAUCCAGUAGCAGAAGGAAUCCAGGGACUGCAGACUGACUAACAAUGUGAGGACAGAUGUCCUGGAUCGUGGGGGUUGUGACUGAGGAAACAAGUUUUUUUCUAAGAGCUCUCCUCUUCUUACCAGCAUCAGCCCAGACCUGCCAAGAUGUUGGGUUUUUUUAUCCAGCUGUCCUUAUGGCCAUGGGGAACCUGGGAGAUGGUGCUGCUCACACUUGACAGAAAGGAGGAACUAAUAAUCAAGUCUUCAAAAUUUGGUUUUGAAAAAUAAACACUGGAAAAAAAUGGGAAAUGAACUAGGUCCAUUUACAGACCUCGCAGUGACAUUCAUCUCGCUUGCUCAUAUGCUUACUUACAGCACAUAUAUUCUUCAUGCUCCUGGUUUUCUGUUCUUGGCUUUUAUAGGGCUUUAAAUAGUUAUAAUCAAGGAGACAUAGAUGGAUCAAAAAGACUAGGUCGCAAUGCACUCUGGGUUGCUGUUGCAUCAAUUAUCAUUGGCCUUGUGAUCAUUGGAAUCUUUUGUGUAGUUCAUUUCACAACG